rnacentral:rRNA from 1 species
GGGUCCGGACACACUGAGGAUUGACAGGCGCUUGUAGUUAUGAGAUUAUUAAUUUAUUAAUAAUUAAAUUUCUGCUAUAAAUAUGCUAGUCCUUUCAUGAUUGUGUGAUAGGUGGUGCAUGGCCGUUCUUAGUUCGUGGAGUGAUCUGUCUGCUUAAUUGCGUUUCACUGUGGACAUUGUUAUAAUAGUGUGUGCACGCAUAACUUCGGUUAUGUUGUUGCCUACUGUUCCAAAUGUCCUGAAGGCAACGAACGUGACCGCAACCUCUUGUUGCCUCUUCCAAAUACUUAUUUUAUUAUCUUUUUUGAUAAUUGAGAUCGGUUUAUAGAGGCUAACUAGAGGGACCGCUGACAACUUUUAAAACAGAGGAAGGUUGCGGCAAUAACAGGUCUGUGAUGCCCUUAGAUGUUCCGGGCUGCACACGUGCUACAAUGAUUAUUGCACUGAGCAUCUAAUUUUAUUAAAAGUUCGUUUGGUUUAAUUUGAUCUUAACAGAUUAAAUAAAACUAACGACAUUUCCUACUUCAAAAGUAAGUAGGU